GUCGGCGUGCUUUACACAUGCAAGUCGAACGGUGAAGGUGGAGCUUGCUCCGCCGGAUCAGUGGCGAACGGGUGAGUAACACGUGGGCAAUCUGCCCCUAACUCUGGGAUAACUACUCGAAAGAGUAGCUAAUACCGGAUACGAAGACUGAGGACAUCCUCGGUUUUGGAAAGUUCUUCGGUUAGGGAUGAGCCCGCGGCCUAUCAGCUAGUUGGUGAGGUAGUGGCUCACCAAGGCGACGACGGGUAGCCGGCCUGAGAGGGCGACCGGCCACACUGGGACUGAGACACGGCCCAGACUCCUACGGGAGGCAGCAGUGGGGAAUAUUGCGCAAUGGGCGAAAGCCUGACGCAGCAACGCCGCGUGCGGGAUGAAGGCCUUCGGGUUGUAAACCGCUUUCAGCAGGGAAGAAGCGAAAGUGACGGUACCUGCAGAAGAAGCACCGGCUAACUACGUGCCAGCAGCCGCGGUAAUACGUAGGGUGCAAGCGUUGUCCGGAUUUAUUGGGCGUAAAGAGCUCGUAGGCGGUUAGUCACGUCGGAUGUGAAAACUCAGUGCUCAACACUGAGCCUGCAUUCGAUACGGGCUGACUAGAGUAUUGUAGGGGAGACUGGAACUCCUGGUGUAGCGGUGAAAUGCGCAUAUAUCAGGAA
rnacentral:rRNA from 1 species